rnacentral:rRNA from 1 species
UACGAGGGGGGCAAAUGUUGUUCGGAAUUACUGGGCGUAAAGGGCUCGUAGGCGGCCAACUAAGUCAGACGUGAAAUCCCUCGGCUUAACCGGGGAACUGCGUCUGAUACUGGAUGGCUUGAGGUUGGGAGAGGGAUGCGGAAUUCCAGGUGUAGCGGUGAAAUGCGUAGAUAUCUGGAAGAACACCGGUGGCGCAGGCGGCGCUCUGGGCCGGAACUGACGCUGAGGAGCGAAAGCGUGGGUAGCAAACAGG